AGGACGAACGCUGGCGGCGUGCUUAACACAUGCAAGUCGAGCGGAAAGGCCCUUCGGGGUACUCGAGCGGCGAACGGGUGAGUAGCACGUGAGCAACCUGCCCUUAGCUCUGGGAUAGCUCCGGGAAACCGGAAUUAAUACCGGAUAUUACACCGGCUGGCAUCGGCUGGUGUGGAAAGAUUUAUCGGCUAAGGAUGGACUCGCGGCCUAUCAGCUUGUUGGUGGGGUAGAAGCCUACCAAGGCGACGACGGGUA
rnacentral:rRNA from 1 species